rnacentral:lncRNA from 1 species
CAUCAUUUUCAGCCUUGGUUGUGCUUAUGGGGCUAAAGGGUGGAGACCUAGAUUUAUAAGAGCCCAGAGACCAAAACCAUUUCCACAAGAAAUUACACAGAGAAGACAAAGGGAAAAACAUGGCAACAGGGAAGAUGUCAGAGAGGUGGGAGGCUGUGCAGAGAGGGCAGCGCAGGCUGCCAUUUGGCCUCUUUUGUUUUGUUUUGUUUUGCUUUGCAGGAGAGAGGGAGAUUGGAAGCACCACUGAGAGGAGUCAGAGGAAAGUGUAAGGAGACUUGUAAAAAAAGGAGGCGGUCAUGAGGAUGAAAGUCAUGUGUGAAGGAUGAUGGAACAGAAGGACUAAAGGAGUCUGACCUGGACACCCUGAUUUCCUGCUGUGUGGCCUGAAAAAGAAGCCACAGUCCCAUGGAUUCUGUUAUCGGCCACUGAGUGCAAUCCUACCUGAUCCCAUGGUCCUCACCAAGGCUGUGUCUGCUUAGGAAAUGGAGAAUGGUCCCCAAACCGCAGCAGCAAAAAUGAGUGGAAGGGUUGAGCAUUAUUUCCAGCCCUUGGUUGCUCUGGUGAUUGGUGCCUGGGAGGGGCAGGACCUCCAUCCAACAGACUGUACCAGCAGAGUGGUAAGAGGAAACCUCAGAGAUGCAUUGGACUUGGUCAGCAGACUUGAGUUCUAUGCCCAUACCAGUCACUGACUGGCUAUGACCUGAAUUGGACAAGGCAUGCCCACUCUAGACUUCAAUUGUUCCUUAUCUGGAAAAGGAAAGGAGUGCUUUGACAGUGGUUCCCAGACACCAAUUUAUAAAGAUUUCACUGGUCUGUGGCAAAAUAAUAAUAAUGGCUA